CACGUAGUUAGCCGGUGCUUCUUUACCCAUUACCGUCACUCACGCUUCGUCACAGGCGAAAGCGAUUUACAACCCGAAGGCCGUCAUCCCGCACGCGGCGUUGCUGCAUCAGGCUUCCGCCCAUUGUGCAAUAUUCCCCACUGCUGCCUCCCGUAGGAGUCUGGGCCGUAUCUCAGUCCCAAUGUGGCCGGUCACCCUCUCAGGCCGGCUACCCGUCAAAGCCUUGGUAAGCCACUACCCCACCAACAAGCUGAUAAGCCGCGAGUCCAUCCCCAACCGCCGAAACUUUCCAACCCCCACCAUGCAGCAGGAGCUCCUAUCCGGUAUUAGCCCCAGUUUCCUGAAGUUAUCCCAAAGUCAAGGGCAGGUUACUCACGUGUUACUCACCCGUUCGCCACUCGAGCACCCCACAAAAGCAGGGCCUUUCCGUCGACUUGCAUGUGUUAAGCACGCCGCCAGCGUCGUCCUGUAGCCGAGGAUACGAAACUCUCUGAGACUCGACCACGGCACACGAGGGAACG
rnacentral:rRNA from 1 species